GGACCACCGCUCACCUUCUCCUUCCUUCCGCCCGGAGCCGCCGGUCGGAGGGUCCUGGAGCUGCGGGCCGUGGUGGUGAGGAGGAGGAGAGCGGCCUUCCUCCCUCGUGGUUCUGUAUCAGAGCCCUCCUGGGGCUGUCCGUCCAUCUGUGCGUCCAACCCUGCAGGUCCACUGGAAUAAAAGCGGUUUGUGAGACAGUGGCGGUGCUGGGGGGGUCCGUCCUGCCUCCCCCUGCAGCCCCUCCCCAACCCUCACCCCCCCGGCAGCUGUGUUUGCUCAGAGAAUUGGCCCCGGGCUGCACACGGUGCUGACGUCCGUCCUAUGGCUCAUACACGUCCCAGGGGAUGGCACUGCAGGGAUGUCUCCUUUCGGUCACCAUAGAGGUUGGGUUGGGGGGGAGGACACCCUAUAGCCAGACUGUGGGUGGGGAGGGAGACCCC
rnacentral:lncRNA from 1 species